CAUCAAGUGUCAAAGAUUUGAAGCUAUAGGAUUCUGAGAGGCAGUAGACAACGGCAACCUGGGACUGACUAGAUCAAACCAAGGCAACAAACAAAGAAGGAAAACACCUGUCUUCCCUUCCUAAGUCUGCUUCCAGGAAAGCGCGUCUUUCUUUAAUUUUCUUUCAAAAAGAAAGGGCGUCAAAAUCUGUUCUUUCCCCCUCUCUUUCUCUCUGUCCCUUAUCGUGAAUAAUCCACAUCUGUGGUAUAUAUAAAGGAUGCGUAGAUUCGUGAUUGGGAGAGCUAAAAGCCUCCUCAACCGUUCAUAUCAAUAUCACUGUCAAAAUCAAGCCUUGCUGCGUCCUCUUGCCCCUUCUCACUCUCGUUUCUUGUCUUCUACUCCUGGUCUUGAUUCCUCUUCUACUUCUUCUGCUUCAUCCAUGGCUCCUCCCGUCUCUCUUGAUACCAUUAAUCCUAAGGUUUUGGAAUGUGAGUAUGCUGUCCGUGGUGAGAUUGUCACCCUUGCACAGCGGUUACAAGAUGAGUUAAAGGCUAAGCCAGGUUCUCAGCCAUUUGAUGAGAUACUGUACUGCAACAUUGGAAAUCCUCAGUCUCUUGGUCAGCAGCCAAUAGCAUUUUUUCGAGAGGUUAUUGCAUUAUGUGAUCAUCCUUCUAUUUUAGACAAAAGUGAAACACAGGGUUUGUUCAGUGCUGAUGCCAUACAACGAGCUUGGCAGAUUCUUGAUCAAAUUCCUGGAAGAGCAACUGGCGCUUACAGUCACAGUCAGGGUGUCAAGGGAUUACGUGAUACAAUUGCUGCCGGAAUUGAAGCUCGUGAUGGUUUUCCUGCUAAUCCAAAUGAUAUAUUUUUGACGGAUGGUGCAAGUCCUGCGGUCCAUAUGAUGAUGCAGUUACUUAUAAGAUCAGAAAAGGAUGGAAUGCUCUGUCCCAUUCCUCAGUACCCCUUGUA
rnacentral:misc_RNA from 1 species